rnacentral:rRNA from 1 species
GCAGUCGAGCGGAACGAUGGUAGCUUGCUACCAGGCGUCGAGCGGCGGACGGGUGAGUAAUGCUUAGGAAUCUGCCCAGUAGUGGGGGAUAGCCCGGGGAAACCCGGAUUAAUACCGCAUACGCCCUUUUGGGGAAAGCAGGGGAUCUUCGGACCUUGCGCUAUUGGAUGAGCCUAAGUCGGAUUAGCUAGUUGGUGGGGUAAAGGCUCACCAAGGCGACGAUCCGUAGCUGGUCUGAGAGGAUGAUCAGCCACAUCGGGACUGAGACACGGCCCGAACUCCUACGGGAGGCAGCAGUGGGGAAUAUUGGACAAUGGGGGCAACCCUGAUCCAGCCAUGCCGCGUGUGUGAAGAAGGCUUUCGGGUUGUAAAGCACUUUCAGUGAGGAGGAAGGCCUUAAGAUUAAUACUCUUAAGGAUUGACGUCACUCACAGAAGAAGCACCGGCUAACUCCGUGCCAGCAGCCGCGGUAAUACGGAGGGUGCAAGCGUUAAUCGGAAUUACUGGGCGUAAAGCGCGCGUAGGUGGUUGAGUAAGCGAGAUGUGAAAGCCCCGGGCUUAACCUGGGAACGGCAUUUCGAACUGCUCGACUAGAGUGUGGUAGAGGGUAGUGGAAUUUCCUGUGUAGCGGUGAAAUGCGUAGAUAUAGGAAGGAACACCAGUGGCGAAGGCGGCUACCUGGA